rnacentral:ribozyme from 1 species
GCUGCUCAAAAUUUGCACACCUCUCCGCGGGGAGCAGCAGGCAACGCCUAAAUAGGCGGCAAAGAUGCAAAA